rnacentral:lncRNA from 1 species
GCACAGAUAGGCCCUGGAGGUCAGCAGAGAUGCCGGUCAGAUCACCUUAUAUCUUUGAACCUCAACAUCUUCAUUUGUCCUGACUUGAGAUGCUCCAGCCGUCUUCAGUCUCCGUUGCUGCCCCGUCUGUUCUUGGGCUUCCCCAUCCAUCCAUCCAUCCAUCCAUCCAUCCAUCCAUCCAUCCAUCAGGAAUACUCUCCCUCUUCUCUACAUCUCCUCCUACUGACGGAGUGGGAGACACCAUCCGAGGCUGCAUUGUAAACUGUAAAGUGCUGUGCAGCCGAGGUCUGCUAUUAGCUUCAUUGUUGGGUAUGAACUUGGCCCUGGCUGUAGGUAAGGAGAGCAGACUGGAGCUCUGAGAGGGUGAACUGCAUGUUCAAGGUCACACAGCAGAGGAGACAUAAAGACAGGUAGCAACCCACCACCGCUGCCAAUGAUGGACCCCAUCAGUUCAUCUCAGUGUGCACGGGCCACCUUAGCUAACCGAG